CGAACGCUGGCGGCGUGCUUAACACAUGCAAGUCGAACGGAAAGGCCCUGCUUUUGUGGGGUGCUCGAGUGGCGAACGGGUGAGUAACACGCGAGUAACCUGCCCUUGACUUUGGGAUAACUUCAGGAAACUGGGGCUAAUACCGGAUAGGAGCUCCUGCUGCAUGGUGGGGGUUGGAAAGUUUCGGCGGUUGGGGAUGGACUCGCGGCUUAUCAGCUUGUUGGUGGGGUAGUGGCUUACCAAGGCUUUGACGGGUAGCCGGCCUGAGAGGGUGACCGGCCACAUUGGGACUGAGAUACGGCCCAGACUCCUACGGGAGGCAGCAGUGGGGAAUAUUGCACAAUGGGCGGAAGCCUGAUGCAGCAACGCCGCGUGCGGGAUGACGGCCUUCGGGUUGUAAACCGCUUUCGCCUGUGACGAAGCGUGAGUGACGGUAAUGGGUAAAGAAGCACCGGCUAACUACGUG
rnacentral:rRNA from 1 species